GCUGGGCGUGGUGGCACAUGUCUGUAGUUACACCUACUCAGGAGGCUGAGGCUGGAGGAUCGCUUGAGUCCAGGAGUUCUGGGCUGUAGUGCGCUAUGCCAAUCACGUGUCCGCACUAAGUUUGGCAUCAGUAAGGUGACCUCUUGGGAGCAGGGGACCACUAGUUCGCCUAAGGAGGGGUGAACCGGCCCAGAUUGGAAAGGAAGCAGGUCAAAACUCCCAUGCUGAUCGGUACUGGGAUUGUGCCUAUGAGUAGCCACUGGACUCCAGCCUGGGCAACAUAGUGAGACCCCUUCUCU
rnacentral:SRP_RNA from 1 species